rnacentral:rRNA from 1 species
GAUGAACGCUGGCGGCGUGCCUAAUACAUGCAAGUCGAACGCAUUGAGAGAAGUGCUUGCACUUUUCAAUUUGAGUGGCGAACGGGUGAGUAACACGUGGGCAACCUACCUGAUAGCGGGGGAUAACGAGUGGAAACAUUCGCUAAUACCGCAUAACAAUAGAGAAGGCAUCUUCUUUAUUUAAAAGGCGCUUUCAAGCGUCACUAUCAGAUGGGCCCGCGGUGCAUUAGUUAGGUGGUGGGGUGAAGGCCUACCAAGACGAUGAUGCAUAGCCGAGUUGAGAGACUGGUCGGACACAUUGGGAGUGAGACACGGCCCAAACUCCUACGGGAGGCUGCAGUAGGGAAUCUUCCACAAUGGACGAAAGUCUGAUGGAGCAACGCCGCGUGUGUGAUGAAGGCUUUCGGGUCGUAAAGCACUGCUGUAUGGGAAGAAAUGCUAGGCUAGGAAAUGAGCUUAGUUUGACGGUACCAUACCAGAAAGGGACGGCUAAAUACGUGCCAGCCGCCGCCGUAA